AUGGAAGGGUCGACGGGACAUGCACGGAGGGCACUGUUUGGUGGCCUGGGACAAAGUCUUUUCGCCCGAGGGUACGGUGGUCUGGGAGUGCCCAACUUGCGCCUACUCAAUACUUCGCUGAGAGCGAGGUGGUCGUGGUUGGCGUGGACGGAUCCGGCCAGACCAUGGGCAAAAUUUAACCUCCAAGUCUCUCCGGACUCAAUUGCCAUUUACAUAGUAGACACGGAGUGCAUCAUGGGGGAUGGAGCCACGGUACUGUUCUGGACGGAUUGGUGGCUUCAGGAGGGACGCAUACACGAUAUCAUGCCAAACCUAUUCGGUGUCGUCAAGAAGAGCGCAACCAAGGCCAGAACAGUGAGAGAAGCACUGUCAUGGCAGUGGUGGCGUGACGUGUCAGCCAACAUGGACGCCCAGGCCAUACAAGAGUUCCUGAGAUUGGUUGAUCGACUACGGAGUGUCGAACUAGUGGAAGGGAUCGAUGACAAGAUUGUGUGGACUUGGAAAGAAAAUGGCUUGUUCUCCGCCCGGUCAGCCUAUCGUGGUCACUUUGCUGCACGAAUUGAGGCGGCAGGAGCCACGAAAAUAUGGAAGUCCAGAGCACCGGCAACUUGCAAGUUCUUCUCCUAG
rnacentral:rRNA from 1 species